rnacentral:rRNA from 1 species
GCUAACAUUCAGUUGAGAACUCUAAUGAGACUGCCAGUGAUAACUGGAGGAAGGUGGGAUGACGUCAAAUCAUCAUGCCCCUUAUGACCUGGGCUACACACGUGCUACAAUGGCCGGUACAAAGAGUUGCGAAACUGUGAAGUUAAGCUAAUCUCAUAAAAGCCCAUCCUCAGUUCGGAUUGAAGUCUGCAACUCGACUUCAUGAAGUUGGAAUCGCUAGUAAUCGUGGAUCAGCAUGUCACGGUGAAUACGUUCCCGGGUCGUU